UAGGCUGGUUUCAAACUCCUAGCCUCAAGCCACCCUCCCACCUCAGCCUCCCAAAGCACUGGGGUUACAAGUGUGAAUCACUGCUCCUGGCCCCAGUAUAUGUAUUUAGGCAUGCUUUUUAUUGAAUCUUUCCAAAGUAGUUCAUCUAAGUUUUCAUAGAAACAGUCACUCAUUCUUUUUGCACUGUUUCUUCAGUUGGUGUAUUGUUUAAUUAGAUUCCUCGAUUACAAUAAGUUUUAGGAGCAAACAUGACUAACUCUUGGGAAACACGUGGUACAUGCUGCUCCCAGCCCCUGGUGCUCAGAAUCCCCUGGGUAUGGGUCAGCCAGCUCUAGGGGGAGCAAGAAUGUCUCUCCCCAAGCCCUGCUGGUCAGGAGCAUCUCAACCCCAAGCAGAGAACCAUUUGGGGAGAUCUGUUGACUGGUAAAUAGUCAGCCCCUCACUCUCACUUGCAUAAAUCUGGAUCUUUACUGUGUGUGUGUUUUAAUUUUGCAAAACAGCUUUUAUGGAAGGGACCAGCAUGUCACCUCCUCACCGUUUACAUGGCUCUCUGACGACCUCCCAUCAGAGUGUAGAUCAGACAUAGAAGCCGCCAGCUCUUAUCCUGGCUUCCCCAUUAAACUGUGGUGUGGCCUCAGCUGAGUCACUUCACCUUGCCUCAGUUUAUUCAUCUCUUAAAUGGGAAUAUGAGCAUUACACUCCCACAAAUGACUGUGGUGAGUAUUGAUAAUAAAACAGGCCUCACCCAGGUGGAGCCUGGGCCCGAGGGCUGCCCACUCUAGGCUCCUCAGCAUCAGGAGGUCAUAGGCGCCUCCAAUGGACCCCUGGAGAGCGUGAGGGUGCUAUUGAAAACAGGCUCCUCUUGUCAUUGCACUGCUCCCACGGGGCCUUCACCAGGAAUGAGCUUCAAGGUCAACCAAAGAGGAGAAAGAGUAGAGGGAACGAGGAGGAACAUUGAGGACUGUGAGGCAGAUCCAGGGACCAAUGAGGCACCAAAUGUGUCCUCCCCACUGACUGCCUUGGGUGGGGUUGUCCAGUUUCUGAAGGAUUCUCUGCAAGGCCUGGCCCCAGAGAGAGGCUUUCUGAAUACACUCAAAGAUGCUUUCCCUGGAAAACAGUACUGCAGGCAGAGACGCAGCUAUCAUACGCGGUAUUGUCAGGAGCUGGAUUUUGUCUCCACCAAUUCGGGUGUUGCAGCCCUAACCCCCAGGACUUCAGAAUGUAACUGUAUUUGAAGAUAAGGUCUUUGCAGAGAUGAUCAAGUUAAAAUCCUCAUGUCUGGUGGGAAGGAGGACCUGGGGAAGUGAAUGGUGACAUCUGGAUGAGGAAGUUUGUUCUGGGCAGAUGAGGGGGCCCUAGGCCCUGAGAAGACCCCAUCCAGGAGCUGGGAGCCCGCUUAGGAGGCUCAUAUGAGAGAGGGGAUCCAAGGUCCCGGCUUUACAGGGGCCACCUGGGGCAGAAAUAGCCCAAGCAACAUCAUUCCUCACCUGUCAAUGCUGGGGGAUAAAUGAAUAUUUAAGAGAACAUUUGUAGUAAUCUGCAAAGGACAGCUGUGAGGUGGGUAGCAGCUGCCAGGGCAAGUAGGGGAUUUGGAGGCUUCUGAAUCAGAUUUGAUGAUGGAGCUCACAGGAUUGUUCCUAGGAGGCAGUUUUUUUUCUGAUAAUUAUAAAUAUUCUCAUCCGUGGUAUAUUCUUUCUUAUCUCCCUCAGAUGUUUGAGGAUAACACAUAAAAAUGCAUGAUUUCAAACCACUGCUGCAUUUUUUUUUUUUUUUUGAGACGAUGUCCUGCUCUGUUGCCCAGGCUGGAGUGCAGUGGCACAAUCUCAGCUCAUUGCAAUCUUCGCCUCCCAGGUUUAAGUGAUUCUCCUGCCUCAGCCUCCCGAGUAGCUGGGAUUACAGGUGCUCACCACCAUGCCCAGCUAAUUUUUCUAUUUUUAGUAGAGACGGGGUUUCGCCAUGUUGGCCAGGCUGGUCUCGAACUCCUGACCUCAGGUGAUCUGCCUGCCUUGGCCUCCCAACACUGCUACUUUUAAAAUCUUUUCUAUUUUCAAGCAGCAGCAGCUGCUGGCAGGUUUUUCUCCAAAUGACCUUUAUUUUGUCUCUAACAAAGUGGAUGGCUUUCUGGGAAAAUUCCUGAUGUGGGUGCGGGGGAACAAGUCGGGCAGGUCCCUUCUUCCUGCAGGGUCCUUGUUUCUCCCGGCAGUUUGUACUCCUUUGCCUGGGAACCAGGCAGUGGCCCCCCCUGGAUACCAGAGCUGAGCAAGCCCCCCGAUCCACUUUUCUUGGAAGCCCUGGGGCUUACCGCCUGAACUUGAUUUUGUCAGUAUUACGCUCGCAAAGCUGUUUUAUUGACUGACAACGUGGAAUGCAAUAAAUGUUCGAGACAUCUGCACCCAGCAAUCGUUUUCUCUGUAGGCAGGUUGCCAGGAAGGCCACGACCCGCUCAAGCUCCUCUCGUGACGAGGACGCCACCUGAAACAGUCGGGCUGCAGUCGCCGCCGUCCUCCGGCUCCCACUCUGCUGGGGUCUCCCUGCUGACCCGGCUUCCCCAGCGCCUCCGGUUCUUCCCAGCCCGAUCUCUCUCCACUGUCAUCCUCAGUGCCAGCCUGUCUCCCACGCCAGCUCGUAAACUCCAGGGUGGCGACUUUGUCUCACUUUCUUUUGUGUUCUGAGCACCUGACCUGGGCAGCCCUGAAGGCAGCUGUGUGAGGAGUCCAGGCGGUGGCCAUGACCCCCGAGCACGCCAGGCGUUAUCCCAGCUGAGCCUCCAGAGUCUCUGGGCUUUCUUCAUAGGUGCUGGGGCAGUCACUCUCAGCCACGACAGGGACACACGAGGCCCACCUCCCAGGAGAAAGCGCCUCUUUCCUCGCCUUUCUGGCCCCAGAGAAAUACAACUUUCAAGAAAGAGUUUGUUCAUGACAAAGUGAGACAGAGUUAAGAGAGAAACUCAGGAUUCAAGGUGAAGAUGUCAGAUGCGCUUGGAUGUGGGAGGAAAGAUCCACCCUGGCCCUCAGUGGAGAGUUCUGACAGUGGUGGGUGCCACUGGGGCUAGGUCCUUUGUGCUGUGGCAGCACCAUCUCCCCCAACCUGCUGCAACUGGGGCUCAGCUGCCUUUUCCAGAGAUCGUGGGGGGUCGCCUCAACUGCGGGGUCACCUGUCCCAACCACUCUCAGCCAAUGACUGACAGACGGGCUCUGGGCUGGGGCCUCUGGGCCUCCAUGAGGGACCUACUCUACAAUUGACACAUCAGGGCAGACAUUGUAGGAUGUGAAUCACUGCAGGGGGAGGAUGCCUGGCAGUGAGACUGUCUGUCCCAGGAGACAGGAAUCCUCACAUUUCCCAGACAAGGCCAAAUUGGGUGUGUGGGAUUUUCUACAAAGUUUUAAAGAAAAAAAAUUUUUAUUCUGAAAUUAUCCUAAUUGUGGUAUUAAAAUGUCAUUUAUUUAUUUA